GAUGAACGCUGGCGGCGUGCCUAAUACAUGCAAGUCGAGCGAACGGACGAGGAGCUUGCUUCUCUGACGUUAGCGGCGGACGGGAGAGUAACACGUGGAUAACCUACCUAUAAGACUGGGAUAACUUCGGGAAACCGGAGCUUAUACCGGAUAAUAUUUUGAACCGCAUGGUUCAAAAGUGAAAGACGGUCUUGCUGUCACUUAUAGAUGGAUCCGGGCUGCAUUAGCUAGUUGGUAAGGUAACGGCUUAUCAAGGCAACGAGGCAUAGCCGACCUGAGAGGGGGAUCGGCCACACGGGAACUGAGACACGGUCCAGACUCCUACGGGAGGGAGCAGUAGGGAAUCUUCCGCAAUGGGCGAAAGCCUGACGGAGCAACGCCGCGUGAGUGAUGAAGGUCUUCGGAGCGUAAAACUCUGUUAUUAGGGAAGAACAUAUGUGUAAGUAACUGUGCACAUCUUGACGGUACCUAAUCAGAAAGCCACGGCUAACUACGUG
rnacentral:rRNA from 1 species